UACGGAAGGUGCAAGCGUUGUUCGGAAUCAUUGGGCGUAAAGAGCACGUAGGCGGAUUUGUAUGUCGAUUGUGAAAUCCCAGGGCUUAACCUUGGAAUUGCAGUCGAAACUGCGGAUCUUGAAUACUUGAGAGGGUGGGGGAAUUCCUGGUGGAGAAGUGAAAUUCGUAGAGAUCAGGAGGAACACCGGAGGCGUAGGCGCCUGCCUGGCAAGAUAUUGACGCUGAGGUGCGAAAGCGUGGGGAGCAAACAGG
rnacentral:misc_RNA from 1 species